rnacentral:rRNA from 1 species
UGAUUAAGAAAUUGAAUUGUUUAAGGUUGCUAUUAAUAAUGUACCUUUUGCAUCAUGAUUCAUUGAGGUCUGUCCUGGAUUUAGGGGUAACUCGAAGGAUAGUGAUUUCCUCUCGAUCUGCUGGGAGCUAAUUGUUGGAUGGGUUAUUCAUCGUGAGAAUCGAGGGGGGAAGUGAAAAGUUAUUCGUACUAUUCUAUAGCUAGUUCUUAUUAUAAAUUUCGGUUACAGGUUCUCUGUUUGGAUAUGGGGAAUCUUUUAAGAGGAGUUGUAGGAUUUUGUUUUUUUGGAUUAAGAGUAUCUUAAGCUUGAUAGUGUGUUAUAACUAGAAAUUUUGAAGAUGUUCUCCUUUACUCUAAAUAAUAAGUUUUUAACUAAAUGCGUUAGUAUGGUGAAAUAAGUAGUUUAAAAAUUCCUUUUCUUUCUCGGGGUUUUCCAGUCUGUUUAGUAAAAACAUUUCCAUCAUUAAAUGUUUGAUGGUAGUACCUGCCCAAUGUCUUUGGAUGAAUGGCCGCAGUAUCUUGACUGUGCUAAGGUAGCAUAAUUAGUUGCCCUAUAAUUAAGGGAUUGUUUGAAAGGUUUGACUAGGGGGAUUACCUAGAUGAGGAUUUUUCUCGAAAUUGAUUUUCUGGUGCAGAAUCCAGAGUUUCUUAGUAAGACGGAAAGACCCCGAGAGCUUUGAUUUAUUUUUUAUCUGGGGUGGAGGUAAAUUAUUCAUAUAUUUUAUGAUCCAGUAAAGGACUAGAGAUGUAAGUUACCUCGGGGAUAACUAGGUAAGAAACAAGGAGAGAUCUUAUUGAUUUGUUUGGUUGCCAUCUCGAUGUUGACUUAAGGCUAGCGAAGGGGUGCAGAAGUUUCUUCGUUAGGGUCUGUUCGACCUUAUUUCCUUUCAUGAGUUGAGUUAAGACCGGCGUGAGCCAGGUCGGUUCUUAUCUACUGGUGUUACGCGUUAGUACGAAAGGAUUGCGCGUAGUUUAUGUU